rfam:Clostridium sp. ASF356 genomic scaffold acMac-supercont1.1, whole genome shotgun sequence.
UACGAGCGAUGAUACAGAAGGUUGCGGCAUACAAAAUGAGUUGUGUGCAGGUUUUUCUGAGGAGCGAUGUCCAGUUCAAGAAACCGGGCGACAU